rnacentral:rRNA from 1 species
AUUGAACGCUGGCGGCAGGCUUAACACAUGCAAGUCGGGCGUGCGGCGGACGGGUGAGUAAUAUAUGGGGAUGUGCCUGAUAGCGGGGGAUAAAUACUGGAAAUGGUAGCUAAUACCGCAUACUAUCCGAUCGAUCCAUAUCGGAUUAGCUUGUAGGUAAGGUAACGGCUGACCAAGGCGGCGAUCCCUAGCUGGUAUGAGAGGCUGAACAGCCACACUGUGGCUGAGACACGGCCCAGACUCCUACGGGAGGCAGCAGUGGGGAAUAUUGCACAAUGGGCGCAAGCCUGAUGCAGCCAUGCCGCGUGUAUGAUGAAGGCCUUCGGGUUGUAAAGUACUUUCGGUCGGGAGGCGUUACCUACAGAAGAAGCACCGGCUAACUCCGUGCCAGCAGCCGCGGUAAUAC